AUUGAACGCUGGCGGCAUGCUUUACACAUGCAAGUCGAACGGUAACAGGUCUUCGGAUGCUGACGAGUGGCGAACGGGUGAGUAAUACAUCGGAACGUGCCUAGUAGUGGGGGAUAACUACUCGAAAGAGUAGCUAAUACCGCAUGAGAUCUACGGAUGAAAGCAGGGGACCUUCGGGCCUUGUGCUACUAGAGCGGCUGAUGGCAGAUUGGGUAGUUGGUGGGGUAAAGGCUUACCAAGCCUGCGAUCUGUAGCUGGUCUGAGAGGACGACCAGCCACACUGGGACUGAGACACGGCCCAGACUCCUACGGGAGGCAGCAGUGGGGAAUUUUGGACAAUGGGCGAAAGCCUGAUCCAGCAAUGCCGCGUGCAGGAUGAAGGCCCUCGGGUUGUAAACUGCUUUUGUACGGAACGAAAAGCCUGGGGCUAAUAUCCCCGGGUCAUGACGGUACCGUAAGAAUAAGCACCGGCUAACUACGUGCCAGCCGCCGCCGUAAAAC
rnacentral:rRNA from 1 species